rnacentral:tRNA from 1 species
GGGGUUGUGGCUCAGCGGCAGAGCACUCGCCUAACAUGUGUGAGGCCCUGGGUUUGAUCCUCAGCACCA